AUUGAACGCUGGCGGCAGGCCUAACACAUGCAAGUCGAGCGGAUGAAGGGAGCUUGCUCCUGGAUUCAGCGGCGGACGGGUGAGUAAUGCCUAGGAAUCUGCCUGGUAGUGGGGGAUAACGUCCGGAAACGGGCGCUAAUACCGCAUACGUCCUGAGGGAGAAAGUGGGGGAUCUUCGGACCUCACGCUAUCAGAUGAGCCUAGGUCGGAUUAGCUAGUUGGUGGGGUAAAGGCCUACCAAGGCGACGAUCCGUAACUGGUCUGAGAGGAUGAUCAGUCACACUGGAACUGAGACACGGUCCAGACUCCUACGGGAGGCAGCAGUGGGGAAUAUUGGACAAUGGGCGAAAGCCUGAUCCAGCCAUGCCGCGUGUGUGAAGAAGGUCUUCGGAUUGUAAAGCACUUUAAGUUGGGAGGAGGGACAGUAAGUUAAUACCUUGCUGUUUUGACGUUACCAACAGAAUAAGCACCGGCUAACUUCGUG
rnacentral:rRNA from 1 species